CACUCGGCUCUUUUUAGAGCCACCAUACCUCAUAGCAGUAGUAG
rfam:Operophtera brumata OBRT01_Sc12954, whole genome shotgun sequence.